AGAAUAUUCCGCAAUGGACGAAAGUCUGACGGAGCGACGCCGCGUGGAUGAUGAAGGCCGGAAGGUUGUAAAAUCCUUUUAUGACUGAGGAAUAAGUGAAGUGAGAGAAACGCUUCAUGGUGACUGUAGGUCAUGAAUAAGCAACGGCUAAUUACGUGCCAGCAGCCGCGGUAACACGUAAGUUGCGAGCGUUGUUCGGAAUUAUUGGGCGUAAAGGGCAUGUAGGCGGUUCUGCAAGUCUGGUGUGAAAUGCCGGGGCUCAACCCCGGAACUGCGUUGGAAACUGCAGGACUUGAGUCGCUGAGGGGCAGCCAGAAUUCCAGGUGUAGGGGUGAAAUCUGUAGAUAUCUGGAAGAAUACCAAUGGCGAAGGCAGGCUGCCAGCAGAUGACUGACGCUGAGGUGCGAAGGUGCGGGGAGCAAACA
rnacentral:rRNA from 1 species